GUGAAGCUGACAGGGAGCCUUACACCAGGCUCUGGAUCUGUAGCUCCACAAAGUACCCUCCUCAUCGCCGUGCCGAAUAAGACCCUGGUGUGUCUGCUGUGAACAGCCCCCUCUGACAGGAACGCACAGUGGGGUAGAUCUCUCUGAGAUGAGUCAGAAACAGAAAAACUUACAAGACAACAGGCAAGAUUCCCCCUGUGAUUCCACUGAUGUGAAAUAGUGUAACUUUCCUCUGUGAUAUCUAACUAUGUAUUUAAAUCAAAGCUCAGAAAAUAACUCACCACAGCUGCACAAGAAAACAGCACACAAUCCGUUAAUACCUGCCUCAACAAGAAGAGAGAUGAGAGAACACUACUGCUUCUGUAUCCACAAUGAGAGAUCAGUCCUCCCAGUCU